rnacentral:rRNA from 1 species
CCUACGGGGGGCAGCAGUGGGGAAUAUUGCACAAUGGGGGAAACCCUGAUGCAGCAACGCCGCGUGAGCGAUGAAGGCCUUCGGGUCGUAAAGCUCUGUCCUAAGGGAAGAAUACUGACGGUACCUUAGGAGGAAGCCCCGGCUAACUACGUGCCAGCAGCCGCGGUAAUACGUAGGGGGCUAGCGUUAUCCGGAAUUACUGGGCGUAAAGGGUGCGUAGGCGGCCCUUCAAGUCAGAGGUGAAAGGCUACGGCUCAACCGUAGUAAGCCUUUGAAACUGUCUUACUAGAGUGCAGGAGAGGAAAGCGGAAUUCCUAGUGUAGCGGUGAAAUGCGUAGAUAUUAGGAAGAACACCAGUGGCGAAGGCGGCUUUCUGGACUGUAACUGACGCUGAGGCACGAAAGCGUGGGGAGCGAACAGGAUUGGAUACCCGUGUAGUC